GAUAAACGCUAGCGGCAGGCUUAACACAUGCAAGUCGAGGGGCAGCAUAGAUUGUAGCAAUACAAUUGGUGGCGACCGGCGCACGGGUGCGUAACGCGUAUGCAACCUACCCGUCACAGGGGGAUAAUCCGGAGAAAUCUGGUCUAAUACCCCAUAACAUAUGGAUCGGCAUCGGUUCAUGUUGAAAUUUUCGGAGGUGACGGAUGGGCAUGCGUAGCAUUAGCUUGUUGGUGAGGUAACGGCUCACCAAGGCGACGAUGCUUAGGGGGACUGAGAGGUUUUCCCCCCACACUGGUACUGAGACACGGACCAGACUCCUACGGGAGGCAGCAGUGAGGAAUAUUGGUCAAUGGGCGCAAGCCUGAACCAGCCAUGCCGCGUGCAGGAUGACGGCUCUAUGAGUUGUAAACUGCUUUUACAAGGGGAUAAAUCGGUGUACGUGUACACCGUUGAAGGUACCUUGGGAAUAAGGAUCGGCUAACUCCGUGCCAGCCGCCGCCGAAA
rnacentral:rRNA from 1 species